CAACGCGUCACGCCAGACACACAUUAAGGUAUGAAAACAUUCAUUGACAAGAACACAAAAAAAACGCUUAUUAAAAGCUUCUAAAAACAGCAUUGCGUUGUGUUAAACAUUUUUUCAAAAAAAAACGUAACAGUUUUCUUAUAAAAUCGUUUUCGUUUUUAGAAUCGAUUUUAUCAUUCAUGCAAAAAACGAAUGAGUACAAAUUUCGCAAAAGAAAACAUUUGAACCGUGUGUGUUGUGCUUUAACACACCCAGAAGGUCCUUCGUCUGAUGACGGAUCUGUUGAACAAAAACGUUUACCUAUUCGAAUAACACGAGGAAAAAGAUUACAAACAUUAGUUGGUAAAGAUGCAAUUGUUGAUGAAGAAUUUUGGAAGCUUCAAACAUGGGAAGAAAGUACUAGUGAUCAAGAAUGGGUUCCAGGCGAUGAAGAUAUAUCAUCGAAUUCCUCCAUAAAUGAAAUCAGUGAAGAUACAAGUGAAGAUGUUAGUUUAGAUCAGAAUCAAAAAGAAGAUUGUUUGUUAAAGAUGGAACGGUACGAAGAAAAAAAAAAAAUACAGAAAAAAAAGCAGCUUAUUUAUCAAGAUACAAUGAAAACAGGAGGCUUUUUGAAUUUGAAGAAAAAAAAAAUCAAACAGUCUCCUGUUUGUCGAAACCUCAAAAAAAACAUUCAGAAACCAUCACAUCUUUCCGAUGUCGUUCUUCGGGAUACAAUUAGUCAAGAAGAACACCUUUGUUUAGCGGAUGAAACAGAACAAAUUAAUACUCAAAAAGUUUUUGAACGUGUUGAGCUUUCAAAUUGGAAAAAGGCUUUAAAAGAAUCCAAAAAAACUAAAACACGUUGGACAGGUUCAAUGGAGCUUCUCAUUUUCUGGGCUUCAAAUCGAUUAUUAAAUAAUGAAAAGGAAACAACGAAAAUAUGUGCUCCUUACUGUCGACAACUUUUAUUUUUUGCUAAUUUCGAUCAUCCUGAAGAUACAAAAAUACCUUCCAUGUAUACAUUAGAAAAAGGAAAUGUUCCGCUUCCUUCUGUACCUGCUACAUUGCGACAUAAAUAUCGUGAUCCGUUAACAGGGCAACCGUUUUCCACAAAAGAAUCGUUUUUACAAUUACGUGAAAAUGAAGAUGCGCAAUGUCAAAAAUUGAUUGAAGAAGCGUUUUAUGGUGUGGAGGCAAAAUUAAAAACACUUUUAUCUUAUAUGAAUCAAAAUAAUCUUUUGGAACAAUUUUUUAAAUUAAAUGAAUUUCCGGACAUUGACUCUUCUUUUGUAUUUAAAAAAAAAUUACAAACAACACCUUGGAUUAAGACUUCUUCAACGCAUACAUCACCGCUUGACAUAAUUCCUUCAGAUAAUACAAUAGAAAAAUAUAGCAUAGGCAAUUUUUCGAACGAGACCCUUACAAAUAGUUUACCUAAUAUAAAGAGUUCUCCUUUGAUUGAAAAACCGCAUAUAAAAGAGACAACUGAACAGCCGCAAACCUUAUCUGUAUGUUUGAAUGACAUUUCUAUGAAAGGCAAGAAAAGAUCCACCGUUAAACGUUCUGAUACCAAAAAAUCCAAAGUAAGACGCGUUAACGAUUUAGCAGAAGUCACUUAUCCAAGACAACCGUUACGUAUUCAUUCGUCACCUCAGCAGUGUAUGAGUUCUCAAGGUGGUGAGAGUGCCUCUAUGCAACAAACCACAUCAGUUCAACAACAGUAUAUGUCGUACAUUUCGUUUUUAAACCAACAGUAUGCCAUGCUGAAACAGUGCCAAGAGUAUCAUCCUCUACAGGGUUCGUUUUUCUAUCCUACGAAUGAUGCGUAUCAUCAAAUGUAUCCUCAAAGUUUACUGUUUAUGAAUUCAACUGGUUUACAUGUUCCUGUAAAUUUUAAUCCCUUACCAUCUUCGUAUUAUCCACCCUGUGUCAGUCCCUAUCCCAUGUUUGUUCCAGGUUCCUUAUCGUAUUCUUUUCCCGACGCAGUCAAUUCAACAUGUCAACUCCCAACAUCAGCACACUCCCUUCCGCCUUCAAAGGCGAUGAAUUUUUGUUCUAUUACAACUAAAGAAUCCUUUACUUGAUAGAUUUUACAAAAGUCAUUUUUACAUUAAAACUCGACUAUUUUUUAAUAGUUUUAUUUAUGACAAGCUAACUACUAACAUACAUUUUUUAUUUUUUUGGGUAAAAAUUGUUUUUUACUAGAAACACAUACUGUAUACAUCACCUUUUCUGUAGACUUUUUAACAAAAAUGCUUCACGGCACGCGUUUACCAAUACCUUGUGCCAAUUUUUUUGUUCUUAACGGUAGUCCACAUGUGUUAAUCUGUUCUACAGUAAGAAAGCAACGGAUAUGUCUACUUUCUGUUAAAAGCGACAAGGACCAUGGAUAAAUUUUACUACGAACAAAAAAACGAAACAAAAACAGAGUUUAAUCCAGACAUCGAUUUUGAAACAUUUAAAGUGUUAGAUCGUUCAUUCAAUUUUGAAAAAAAAAGUGAUGAAGUGAACGAUUAUGAAGAUUUGACACAAACCAUUUUAGACAUUCCUAGAAAAUUAACAAUUGAAGACAAUUCUCCUUAUUUUUUGAAUAAUGACAAAUCUGAAAUUUUAGAGUGUGAGGUCAAAAGUAUUGUUGAAGGUUUUAACAAUGUCGAAGAGGAAGAAAAUUUUCCUGCUGUUGAAAAAGCGUCUGCUGAGGCAGCCGGUUCUGCAGAAAUUAUAUUAAUUUGUACAAGUUUGGGUUCAAUACGCCGUCAAUUUUUCUCUUCACGACGGGCUAAAAAUUUUUUAGAUUGCAAAGGUGCUCAAUAUUUUUUAAUUGACGCCAACCGAGAUGUUUCCGCAGGAAACAAUUUAAAAGAUCAACAUUUAUUGAAUCAAUGGGUUGCCAUGAACUUAUUAAAAUUAAACCCAAAAACUAGUACAGAAGGUGACACUUGUUCCAUUGCAAUACCUCAAAUCCUUAUUGAUGGUAUACCUAUUGGUAAUGAAACCUCGCUACAAGAUUUAGAGGAAGAUACAUAUUUGGAUCUCAUGAUUGUACAAUCCAUUUGUCCAGCUUGUCUUACAAGCCGCAAUCCUCAAGAUAAACAAUGUUCUUCAUGCUCCGCUAAUUUUUUACGACUGAUUCCGCCAGAUUUCGUAACCGAACAAACGAUCCAACAAAUUUGUUGUGGACAAUUGUAUUAUAAUGAUUCAGAAGAGGUCUUUGAAUCACCUUUUUGAUUAAUAUUGUAUUAAACAAAAAAAGAAAAAAAUUAAAAUUUAUAUCUUUAAUUAAACAGUAAACUUUAAUACUUUUUUUCUAACAAGUCUUGUAAAGCAAAACUGAAUAGAAAAAAAUGUCAGGGUUUUACAGACUCCGAUGAUCUAACUCCCACCUUUUCGCAAAAUGAUUAAAUAAUUUUUAUUUUUCAUUCACAUAUUUAAACUGUGUUAUUC